AAGAGAUUAAGAUAGAGAAAUAGCUGCUAACUAAUUUCUUAAGCGGUUUGAUUCCGUUUGUUUCUUA
rnacentral:tRNA from 1 species